rnacentral:rRNA from 1 species
AUUGAACGCUGGCGGCAGGCUUAACACAUGCAAGUCGAGCGGAGAUGAGGUGCUUGCACCUUAUCUUAGCGGCGGACGGGUGAGUAAUGCUUAGGAAUCUGCCUAUUAGUGGGGGACAACAUUCCGAAAGGAAUGCUAAUACCGCAUACGUCCUACGGGAGAAAGCCGGGGAUCUUCGGACCUUGCGCUAAUAGAUGAGCCUAAGUCGGAUUAGCUAGUUGGUGGGGUAAAGGCCUACCAAGGCGACGAUCUGUAGCGGGUCGGAGAGGAUGGGCCGCCACACUGGGACUGGGAAACGGCCCAGACUCCUACGGGAGGCAGCAGUGGGGAAUAUUGGACAAUGGGGGGAACCCUGAUCCAGCCAUGCCGCGCGUGUGAAGAAGGCCUUAUGGUUGUAAAGCACUUUAAGCGAGGAGGAGGCUACUGAGACUAAUACUCUUGGAUAGUGGACGUUACUCGCAGAAUAAGCACCGGCUAACUCUGUGCCAGCAGCCGCAGUAAGAC